rnacentral:rRNA from 2 species
AAGCUCGUAGUUGGAUUUCUGUUAAUAAUUUAUAUAUAAUAUUUUAUUAAUAUUUAUAUAAUAUUAACAUAAUUCAUAUUACUAUAUUUUUUUUAGUAUAUGAAAUUUUACUUUGAGAAAAUUAGAGUGCUUAAAGCAGGCCACUGCCUUGAAUACUCCAGCAUGGAAUAAUAAGUAAGGACUUUUGUCUUUCUUAUUGGUUCUAGGACAAAAGUAAUGGUUAAUAGGGACAGUUGGGGGCAUUCGUAUUUAACAGCCAGAGGUGAAAUUCUUAGAUUUGUUAAAGACGAACUACUGCGAAAGCAUUUGCCAAGGAUGUUUUCAUUAAUCAAGAACGAAAGUUAGGGGAUCGAAGACGAUCAGAUACCGUCGUAGUCUUAACCAUAAACUAUGCCGACUAGAGAUUGGAGGUUGUUCCUUACUCCUUCAGCACCUUA